rnacentral:rRNA from 1 species
UACGUAGGGGGCAAGCGUUGUCCGGAUUCAUUGGGCGUAAAGAGCGUGUAGGCGGCCAGGUAGGUCGGUUGUGAAAACUGGAGGCUCAACCUUCAGAGGUCGACCGAAACCAUCUGGCUAGAGUCCGGGAGAGGAGAGUGGAAUUCCUGGUGUAGCGGUGGAAUGCGCAGAUAUCAGGAGGAACACCGAUGGCGAAGGCAGGUCUCUGGGCACUUACUGACGCUGAGGAGCGAAAGCGUGGGGAGCGAACAGG